UGGCCUUGACAUACUAAGAACUUUCCAGAGAUGGAUUGGUGGCCUUCGGGAACUUAGAUACAGGUGCUGCAUGGCUGUCGUCAGCUCGUGUCGUGAGAUGUUGGGUUAAGUCCGCAACGAGCGCAACCCUUUUCCUUAUUUGCCAGCGGGUAAUGCCGGGAACUUUAAGGAUACUGCCAGUGACAAACUGGAGGAAGGCGGGGACGACGUCAAGUCAUCAUGGCCCUUACGGCCAGGGCUACACACGUGCUACAAUGGUCGGUACAAAGGGUUGCUACCUCGCGAGAGGAUGCUAAUCUCAAAAAGCCGAUCGUAGUCCGGAUCGCAGUCUGCAACUCGACUGCGUGAAGUCGGAAUCGCUAGUAAUCGCGGAUCAGAAUGCCGCGGUGAAUACGUUCCCGGGCCUUGUACACACCGCCCGUCACACCAUGGGAGUUUGUUGCACCAGAAGUAGGUAGUCUAACCGCAAGGAGGACGCUUACCACGGUGUGGCCGAUGACUGGGGUGAAGUCGUAACAAGGUAAGCGUAGAUGA
rnacentral:rRNA from 1 species